CAUUAACACCACGAGAAACACAAAACCCUUAACCCCUAGCAACUUACAAAGAACCCUCACACGACUAGCAUCUUCAGUCUUUUCUACGAUCAGAGAAAGAGUGAACAAAAUGGCUUGGCGAAGUGCAGGAUCACUGUCGCGGUCUCUUUCCAGGGUUUCUUCCCUCCGUUCGCCGCCGCCGAUGCCCCGUCUCCGACCGCCUCAAGCUGCCUCUCGUCCCCAGGCACGCCGCUUCUCCUUUGCUAAUUCGAGGAAUUUUGCGGAACUGGGUUGCACAAUUUCAUUUUUGCCUUUGCAUGGUGUGGUGCCUGCAGCCCGCCUCACAUCCCACCUGUCUAUCAAUGCGCGGGCUUUUUCUGAGCUGUCUCAUGGUACCUUCCGUCGUUCUUGUCAGGAUCGCUAGUAGUCUCUUUGAAGGAAUGGAAAAGAUGGGUGAUGCGCGUGGACUUUCUAUCAGCUAAAGGCACAAGAAUGAUGCUGCAUUUAACUUGAAAAGCUAUUGGAUCAGCACAAUUCAGUGCAAGGAUAUAUUGAGGCAAUCAGGAAGCCCCUUGGGGAGAUAUCGCUCAUACAUAGGAAAGUUGAAUAAAAUUUUGUUAUUGCUUACGUUACUUUCAAGAAUGGACUUGAAAUUUUUAAAAUUUCUUGAACAAUCUCAUAGAUGAUGAUUUUAGGUUUUUCUGACUAAUUUCUGUAUGUUACGCUAUUGAUUGUUAAUUUAUAGUGUCAUAUUGAGGUCCUUUCUCUGUUA